rnacentral:rRNA from 1 species
CAGCCGCCGCGGUAAGACAGAGGAUGCAAGCGUUAUCCGGAAUGAUUGGGCGUAAAGCGUCUGUAGGUGGCUUUUCAAGUCCGCCGUCAAAUCCCAGGGCUCAACCCUGGACAGGCGGUGGAAACUACCAAGCUGGAGUACGGUAGGGGCAGAGGGAAUUUCCGGUGAAGCGGUGAAAUGCGUUGAGAUCGGAAAGGACACCAACGGCGAAAGCACUCUGCUGGGCCGACACUGACACUGAGAGACGAAAGCUAGGGGAGCAAAUGGGAUUAGAGACCCCAGUAGUCCCUGUCUCUUAUAA